CCUCUGAGUCCUCGUUCCGCCUGAAAGGAGACUGAGGCCCUUUAGUUUCCUUCCCGCUCAGCACAGUUCUCCUCUGCUUGUUCAGAGCCAGAGCCAAUGGAGGCGGAGACUGGGAAUCAGCAUAGUCUCCGUGCAGUGCACAGAGGCACUGUCUGGAGGUGCCGACCUUGAGAACAGAACUUUGUCCCUCUUGGGUCCCUGUAAUGCAGGGCACACCUGGGACCUAUUUGGGACUUUGCAGGGACAGCUGCCGGUACCUGACAGGCCCGGAGCCUCCGGAUCAUCUGCAGGCCCAUUUGGAUGGCCCUGUUGGGGAGAGGCAGGAGGUGCAGCUGGAGGAGGUAGAGGAAGGACAGACAGCUCGUCUGCACGGAAGGAGGCAGCGCGGAUGUUUGCAGCGACAGAUGGCAGCAUCCGGCAGAGCCCUGGAAGCCGGGUGAGGAGAGGAGGGGAGGCCGGCCAGACUCCUCUGCAGCUCUCAGGCCUCCCGCACAAGCUCAGCCUGCCUGGCACACACGUGGAGAUUCUCCCCUCCCUGUGUGGCGCUAAGGCACCUUGGUGAGCUCCUCAUGGUCCACAUGGGCUGCGAGUGUGUGGGAUGGCCUGGGGCGACUGGAGAAGUCUGUUCACCUGGCCCUUUGGGAGCCAAGUGGAGGAGGCUCCAGAUCAGCCCCAGAAACCCUGUUCGCUGUUCUCAGUGAGGGCGUCUGCCACGAGACUGGGGCCAGAGGGGCCAUGUAGGGAUGAGGAGUGGCGGUGACUGGGAGGUGAGGAUGGCCAGAAAGUGCUAGUCUCCCAUCAUCCCUCUGUCUUGGUGAACUCCGCUGUAUCUUAGAAUCCUGCUUGACCCGGCUCUUCAGGAAGCUGCCCUGGCAGGCCGGGCUGAGCCUGAAGAUGCCUGGCCUGGCUCUGUGGCCUCUGUGAGCCCCGGCCCCUCCUGGCCUCAGUUCUAGCUGGAGGAAACAGGACUCCCUCCUCAUCCUGGGAAGGCGGUCUCUUCCUCUCAGCGGGACUUUGAAGAGGCCGUGAAGAACCCACAGGGCCCUGCAGCAGUGGAACCAGACACCCAGAUUCACCACCCUGGAGUCGUUCCCAGCCUAGCACAGAGCCUGGGAAACAGAUGGAGAAAGCGUAGGGUGGGAGGGCCCAACAUCCUGGGCGGCUGGGGAAAUGACAGCAGCCGGGAUCCCAGCACUUAGCAUGGGUCAGUUAACAAUGCAUCCGGCCCCACCCAGCCUGUGAGGAGCCCCUUCUGUUCCUCACGCUCACACACCUGAAACUGACUCUCUGCUGGGCUCACUUGUCCACACUGCUGCUACUACCACCGCCACAGGGCCAGGAUUAGACCCCAGACAACCUGGACCGGAAGUCCACACUCCCAUCCACGGAACUACAAAACAAAAUGAAAACCAUCUCUCCCUCUGGCAGGGAUGACGGAUAAUAGGUUUGAUGCCAUCAAGUGCUGCUGAGGUCACCUCACCACCACCACCACCACGGGGAGCCCACGUCUGAUUACCUAGGGAGCCCCAAGAGUUCGGGUCAGAGUGGAGCGAACAGCUCUUUCAUCUCAUCUGCGUUUAGGUUGCCAUGCAGGAAAGAGUCGUGCAUUGCUUUGGUUUGUAACUCAUUUAAAAGGAGAAUGGGGGCAGUGAUACAGGGACAGCAUGUGCGAGGCCCGAGUUGCAUCCUUAGCCCAUCCCCCAAACAGAUGGGGGAGUAUGUUGGGGAAAGGGAAUCAAAGAUGGACAGAAUGGAAGGCUCUCAGACAGUUGUCCCUGACCGUGACCUCCUGCAGGCUUUGUCUGGGCGAGGCCUGUUCUUUUAUUGGGCACAUAUGUAUUUUCUGGGGGCCCCUAGGUCCUCGGCUCUGUGCCGGGCUGUGUGCUCUCCCCAGGCACACCCAGGGUGUGUCCCGACAGAGGGGCUCCCCUUCUGUCCCUGUCUGGGCGCUCUGUGGUAACAAGGUCAGGGCUGCAGGGAGGAGCCAGUUCUGGCCAGAGCUCUGAUCUGUGACGGGCUGUUCCCCGGAGCAGCUGCUACAACAACAUUUACUUUGUACAGUGGCCAAGAGAGAGAGCAAGAAAAGGAAGAGAGAGAGAGAGAGAGAGAGAGAGAGAGAGAGAGAGAGAGACAGAGGGAGAGAGCACACAAGCCUACUCUAUUGCAAAAUGUUUCUGACAAAAUCUGGCACUCCUGGUUCUAAUCAAAAUACUGAACUUUGGAACAAAUUAACAUUCCACAGCCCUCACUGGGAAGGAGAAUUCAGCCGAGACGACUUCAGUUCACAACAACAAAAAUAGCUUCUCCCGGGGAAGACACAUUCUGCUAACAAGGUCACUUGUGUUUUGCUUCCCCUGCCAUCUGGCUGAGCGGCAACCAGGGGCUGGCACUGGUACCAGCGUCUUGUGUGGAGAGGGGCUGGGAACCGGGUGGUGCCGCUGAAGGCUUCUCAGCCUCCUGGCAAAGGGUGUAGGCGUGGAGUUACCUUCAGACAGUCCCAGAACUGGGGCAGAUGGAGCCCAGUCUCACCCAGCCGGGCUCAGCUUCGAGCUCCGAGCAGCAGGAGGUGUGACACCAGCACACAGCAACAAGCAGGUGGCCCUCGAGGUGGCCCUGGAGAUGGGCAGAGAGAACGCAGUGUCCAACUCUUUCAGUCAGAGGCUGUGCUAAGUGGCUCCUGAUUCCAGCUGAUGCUUGUCCCAGCCAACCUCCCUCUUGCAGAUCUGGAGGCCAGAAGUGUGAAAUCAAGAUGUUGUCAGGGCUCUGUUCCUUCUGAGACCUUCUGAGACCUUCUUUGCCUCCUCCCAUUUUCUGGCACACCAGUCAUAUUGGAUUAAAGGCCCAAGACUCCAUUCUGACCUCAUCUUGGCUAAUUGCAUCUCCAUGACCCUAUUUCCAAAUAAGGUCACAAUCUCAGGCUGCUCUGCUCUGAGACCACUGGCACCGUGAGCAGAUGGCAUGACUUGGCUGUCCCCUGCUCCUGCCUCCGUGCACCUGGGACCUGUGGGUGGCCUCGUUUGCAUGGAGGAAAAAGAUAAUAUCCCUAUUUAUUACAAAGACUCAGGCAUUUGAAGGACCCAACCAAUGGUGUGACAUGUGUGGGCACAUGAACUUCACCUUGGAUGCCCCAGAAGUUUCUAGAGCUGACUUCCUUUAACUAGAAGGAAUAUGACUGUGGUCUUAGAAGAAAGACAUUACCUGGAGGAAGUUGAAAGCCAGCAUGCAGAGAAGGAAGACUACGGAAGGGCUCAGGCAGCUACACAGCUCUGCAGAACAAAAUGUUCUUGUCCAGGCCAUGGGGCCACAGGCUGGGACAGAGGGGAGGAACAAUGAUGUCAUGGAAUGAGAAGGAGUUGGGAACACUAUUGGAAUGAAUGUUCCAUUGAUUACACGAGUUGCUGACAAGCAACAGCAGAAAUGGAGCUGGGUGAUCAGUCUCAAAUUCUCCCCCUGACAUUUGCAAGAAAAGUGGUGAACACAUCCCAGACACCCACUUCCUACCCCCGUUAUGUGUAUGAGACGCUGGAAGCAGCAAGGACUCGGAUUCUCCCCUUGAGCCACCAGGAGGAACACAGCCUGCAGCUGCAUCCAGACUUCUGACCUCCAGAACUGCAAGCAAAUAAAAGUAUGUGAUUUGGGGCCACCCCGUUUGUGCUCAUUCACUGCUGCCGCAGCCAGAGAAAACCAACACAGAUUUCCACGUUGAGUCUGGGUUUUCCUUUGAGGCUGUGGCUUUUCCUACUGUGAUCGUAGCUCACAGCUGCUGAGUGGGGACAAUGUGUACCAGAUGCUGAGUAGACAUCAUCUCAGUUCUCCCAGUAACCCUGUGGGCCGGGCACUGGCAUUACCCUUAUUCAGGAGAUGGAGGACUAGGCUUGCAACAGUCUGCUGUAACCAGAGGCGGUUUUGAGCCCCAGGGACACUGAGCAAUGCCUGUAGACAUUCAGAUAGUCACAACCAGGUUUGGGGUGCUCCUGGCAUCUAGUGCAGGAGAAGCCAGGGAUGAAUGACAUGUGUGUGUACACAUGUGCAUAUGGGGUGUGUAUGGGGUUGGUGUGUGGCGUGUGUGUGUGUGUCUGUGUGGUGGGGGCCAGGUUAGGGAGAACAGGGGACCUGGCCUCUGCCUCACUUUCCAUCAUGAUCUGCUCCACUGUCCCCCCAAACUGCCUACAUCAGCAAGAGAUGAGAGAGUUACCAGUGUCAUCCCCCUAAAAUUCUACUUUUUCUCACAUUGAUGUCCCCUAUUUCCUGCCCACUAUUAUUGACUGGCACCUCCUCUCUGUUCUCUUCAUGCCUCCCUCCAUCACUGCCUCAGAGCAUACUUUUCUGAUUGGAUGAGGCCCCUGCCGCCAGCUCCGGUACCGAUACAGGUCUCAGCACCAAUGUACACUGGAAAGUGGAAAGUCUGCCCCACCUGAGCAGUGGCUGAGCAGCUUGCUGUUUGCAAAGUGUCACUGCCGGAAAGAAGUGGAUGGCAAGAUGCAUCCUCUACGGGGAUCAUGACCUGACGUGGCCCUCUCGCCUGGUCACCUGGUUAGGCCAAGUCACCAGACAGUCCCUGUGUUCUCACCUGCAAAUUGGGAGUCACUUACUUGAAAUUAAGUAAGAGAUGGAGGAAUCUGUUCCUCCCUCAGAGAUGCAUGAGGUAUUGUGCCACACUGGCUCCUGGCUUCUGGUGACACUGACAUUUCUGGGAUUGUGGCUGCCUUCCUCCCAUCUCUCCCUCUCUUUGUGUGGCCUUCUCUCUCCCAUGUGUCCGAGGGUCAAAUCUCCCUCUGAUUCUCUCUUAUAAAUACUGAUGCUGUUAGGCCCUGCUGGGGUAACCCAAGAUGAUCCUGUCUCAAGAUCCUUAACUCAACUUUUGCCAUUUAAGGGAACAUUCACUCAUAGAACCCUGAAAUUAGGCAACAGAUAUCUUUGGAGGAUCAUUAUUUCAGCCUAGCACAAGGAGGUAGGUACUUUACACAUCUUUACAUUUCAUAUCAAGCCUAAGAAUAGCUAUUAGUUUUGCUGUUUCACAGAUGAGGAAAUUGAGGCUUGGAGACAUUUACUAUGGAAUUUCAGAAAGUUCAUUCCGUUUCUGAGACACCUUGCCAUUUUCAUCUAUAAAAUGAGAAUCGUGCCCUUCCUGACCUAGGCCAGAUGAAAGUAGAGAAUUUUUAUACAAAUUCUUAGCAAAGUAUUAUGCAUUACAGAGAUGCAAGGGGUUAUUUUUUGCCUUGAGUGGAUUUUCUAGAAAGUCUUCACGUGGGAGAGGAGAGAUGACUUGGCUGAGGAUUGUGAGUGAAAUGCCAAAAUAUUUCUAGAAAUCAUCAGUGUCUUAGAGUGCUGAGUCUUCAUUACAAUAGCAAGUGAAAUUCUGAUGUAGAUGCACUUUAAAACAUUCCCUGUUUGAGGAAUCAUGCCUGGAAGCCACUUCCCAAAGAGAGGCAGCAAGAAAUGCUGAAUUCUUUCAAGUUGAAAGUGGGAGAGAUGGCACAUUUUAUUCUUUAGAAUGCUCCUUCUUCGGCUCAUCCUUCUAGGCAUUCUUAACAGUGACGCCUGGUGUGUUUGCAACCCAAUAAUACCAGCUACCAAUUGCUUGCUGUGCACCAAGCUCUGUGGAUUGAAUUCUCACAAAUCAUAGUGUUUUAGUUGACUGAACUUCAUUUGAAUAAGUGGAUUUCGGGGAAUAUGUCUGCUGAGAUACUAAACCUUGAUUGCACUGCAGUGCUGGGAUGGAACCGAGGGCCUCGUGCACAAUGGACAAGUGCUUGACCACGGAGCUCCACCUCAGUCCUUUACUGAGCCUUAGACUUUAUCUUCAUGUGCUCUCUAGACAACUCCUGUGUUAACAUUUGAGGCUUGUAUAGGCCAAGCAUCCCUAAUCUGGAAAUCAAAAGUGCUCCAAAAUCCAAAACUUUCUGAGCACUGACAUGCUGCCAUAGUGGAAGUUCAGUUCCUUGUGGCUACGGAACAGAGACCCUGUGUCGUUGCUGGCUGCUCCCCGCUCCGGGCGGCUGCCCACACUCCUUGUCACACAGUUCCUUCUGCCUUCCAGCCAGCGAUGGCACAUGGGCUCCUCGUUCUCAGAAGCUCUGACUUUUCUGUUGCUGACUUUAGAAGCCUUCAAGGGUGGUCCUGCCAAUCCCU
ensembl:lncRNA